ensembl:lncRNA
AGGUAGAAAUUAAUAUGUUUAUAAUACACAGAAUGAAAAUAAAGAUUCAACAGGACAGGUCAGGAUUUUUGCCUGGAGUGACAGGCAAGUUGACAUUUAAACUGGGCUUUGAAAAAUCAAUUGUUUUUGUAAACGUAGAGAAGAUUAAGCGAUACAUAAAGUAGAGUGAAUGGAACAAGUAAAGUAAAUGAGGUGGGAAUAUUGGGUCAAGUAGUAUUGAGAAUAGCAAGUACUUUUCUUAAGCAAAAACUUAUGAAUAUGAAAUGAACUACUAGGGAGUAAUGUUUGAGAAGUACAUUAGGAUCAAGAAAUGGAAAGCUCUGGAGUAAGUGAAGACUUUACUUUUUACAGUGAUCUGGUCAGAGUUUUGCUUCAGGUGGAUUAAAAUGACAUGAAUUUGAAAUACGAAUUGGAAAAAUUUACAACAGAGGAUUGCUAUAAUUUUCCCAUGAUAAUCUCAGUGACUACCAACUAGCAAGUUGCCUUUGAGCUGGGACAAUGGUCUUCUCCUGCCUUCAGACUCAGAUUGGAACUUACACCAUCAGCUCUUAUGGUUCUCAGGCCUUUGGACUCAGACUGAAACUAUACCAUCCACCCUCCUUGGUCUCUAGCUUGCCAACUGCAGAUCUUGGGACUUGCCAGCCUCUCCAUAAUUGUAACUACAACUAAUUGGACAUUCAUUGAUCAACAAAGGAUAUCAACACAGCACCUCAGGACACCUGAGAGACGCACGGCCAUACAUUGCCAGGUGGAUGGACUUCCCCCAGGGAAGGAGGUGGAGAUAGGUGAAAACACUCCAGCCCCCAGACAGCCUAGUACCUGCAAGUAACUAUCUCCUAGCUGACAUGCUCAUAGCACCACCAUGGCACUGAGGCAAAGCUGACUGGAGUGAUUCAUCAGCUCUGGGAAAAUCAGGAUAAAUCUAAGAAAGCAAGGAACAUCAGCAGAGUGAGAAAUACCACCAGGAAUUUCCAUAUUCCAGGAUAUUAUACUGAGUUCUACGUUGAUGAUCUAAAAACGAUGGGAGUGCCACACCUUCAGCUGGGAUGAGUGGGCCCUGACAUGGCAAUUAAUAAAACAACAAGAAAAGAACCCAGGUUACACAGCGUGGAUUACACUGAGCUGCAGCUGAGGUCUUGCGCUUCCACAGUUCAUUCAUUCGUUCUUUUAUGCAUUCAUUUAACCAUUCUUUAUUGACAAUCUAUUUUGUAUUUGGCACUGUUCUAGGCACUGAAGAAAUGGCAGUAAGAAAAUCAGACAAAAAUGUCUAGUUUACAGAAUUUACAUUAUAACAGUGAGAAACAGAUAUUAAAAACAAAUGAAUUCCAAAUAAGUUUACAGCUUAUUAGAAUAUCAUCAAUGGUAUAGAAAAAAAUAAAGGAGAGAAGAGAGAGCAGCCCUUGGGGGAGAGGGGUUCCAGCUUUUAAUAGAGUGGUCAUGGAGGUCCUCUGUGAGAAGAUGACAAGUGAGCAAAUACUAGAAGGGAGUGAGGGAGUGAGUCAUGUGACAGCAGAAGGUGAGAUUCCAGGCAGCAGAACCAGCAGAUGCAAAGGCAAGUGUGAGAAACAGCCAGCUAGACAGGGCCACUUACAUGGUGUGAGCUGGGUGGAGGUUCAUAGGUGUCGAAAUAAAAGAGAAAUUGGGUUGGAGGUGGAGGUGGUUGCAUAGGGACUUAUACCAUUGUAAGUAUUCUGGCUUGGCAUAGAAUGAGAAGUGAAGCCACGGAGUGUUUUGCACAGAAAAGAGACUUAACCCAACUCGUAUUUUAAUUGGCAUAUUCUGACUAUGGCCUUGAGAAUAGACCACAGGAGGAGCAAGGGUAGAAGCAAGGAGAUGCAUUAGGAAGUUAUGUCACCAGUUUAGAGAAAAGAGGAUGACUGGUAGAAGAAGAGGUUAUAAAAAUAAGUUGAAAUUUGGAUAUCCAUAGAGAGUAGAGCCAAUACGAUUUUCUGACUGAAUGGAUGAGGGUGUGAAAGAGAGGAGGUAAGCCAGAAGUUUGUCUUUGGAAAUCUAAAUUUUGAAAUGUCCAUUAGACAUCCAAAUGGACAUAGGAUGUUUGGAGUUUAGUGAAGCGCCCUUGACUGGAGGUAAAACACAAGACCUUGUCAACAUAAAGAUAGCAUUUAAAGAUGUCACAAGGUUGUGGGAUAAAGAGAAGAGGAAGUUGAAAAACAGAGCCUAAGAGCACUCCAAAUUUAAUAAGUGAGGGAGGUCAGAAGGAACCAGAAAAAUAAAUUAAAAAUGAGGGUCAGUGAGGUAGGAUGGGGUCCUGAAUGUUAAGUACAGAAGUUUCAAGGAACAAGGAGUGUCAAGUGCUAUGUCAAAUGCUGCAAACAGGUAAGAUGAGGGCUGAGAACUCACCGCUGGAUUUAGCCACGUGGCAGUUAUUGUUCGCCAGGACAAGAGUGGUUUCUGUGCAGUGCAGAGAGUAAAAGCCUCCUGGGUUCCAGGGAGAAUGAGAGGAGAGGUGUUGGGGAGAGUGAGUAUAGAAAAUGUUGUAAGGGAGUUUGCAGU